UGUGGGUGGAUGUGUGUGUGUGUUGUCCUCCCUGCUCCUCUCAUGACAUCAUCCCUCAAGCCUCCUUAAUAACAAUAGCACAUCUCGCUUUUUCGCCUUUCGUGAUCUGUCUUUGUUUUAAGAGGCGGGACGCGACGAUCAAUCUUACUCGGUCUGACGUUGCGCGGCGGCGGCCAUGAUGACGGUGAUGAUGGCCAUGGUUAUGAUUUAUCAGAGGCGACCGUGACGGCGAAUACAAACGCGGCGUGAUAAACACAGAUUGAAAGGAUGGGCGUCACGGAUUUUGACCAUUUGUGUAAAAAGAUGCUUCGUACUCUCUGCAGUUAAGUAAAGAAACACUUCCGGAAACACACACACACACACACACACACGCACGCAGCUGCUCCCUAUCAGCACCUGGUGUGAGCCUGUAGCCGUUCCACUGUUUUGACUCUCACACUUCCUCUUCUUUCAUUACAUCUCUCCCACUGCCGACCUGCCGCCGUGGUAUUGGCCAGAUCUGUCAUCUUUGUUGUUUCCUUUCUCCUCCACCUGCGUUAAGCUCCAGCUGCCAUGUUUGGCGUUUCGCUUUACACACAGUGUGUAGCUGAUUCUCCCCCUUCUACGCGCGCAAAGGUGUACGGAGCCAUCAGCACGCACAAGCCAUUAAUUAGUGUGCGCAAAUAAACAGUUGUGAGGGAAAGGGAAGCGGCUGCAGUAAAAAAGAAAGGGGGGAAAAAAACCCAAGCAUGCACUUUUGCUGUCUUAUUUCCCUCCAGUGGUGCUUUUUGUCUCAUUUGAAGUGUAUGCUAUCAGUUGAGGGCGCUUUAGCUACAAACUAGCCGCCUAAAAAUAUGUAUCCUGCUUUUGUACUGCACAGUAUGUCACUACAUGCGCUGUAAAAAUAAAGUAGGAACUCCCAAAGUUUAUUUUACGUUGAGCUACUGAAUUUAGUCAGUCGUAAAAGGCAGCACUGCAGUUUUUGUUUCGUAUUGAACCUAAAACAAAAAUAUGUGAACGAUGAAUAUUUCAGGCAUAUUGAUAUUUUGGAAUACUGGGUAAAACUUUACGGAGCUAAUAUUUAUGUUCAUUCACUUUCCAUUAUUUCUUGUGAAGUUUUGAAAUUCAAACAACUCUGAAGUCAAGCAGGCUGUCAGCAUGCACUGCUUCCCAAAAAGACUUCAUGACUUUACUUUGUUGGCAAAUGUGAGUACAUUUGCCAACAAAUCCCUUUAGCACAUUCCUGUGCAAAAACCACAGUGUGUUUCUGUGCCGCCGGCCUGUGCGUGUGUGUAGGAGUGUGUGUGUGUGUGAUAUCUGAUGUCAGCUGUCACAUCCCAGUCGGUCUGGGCCCAUAAUAAGAGACAAUAAUAACAACUCAUUAAAACCGAGGGCAGGAACUGUGGAGCUCAUCGGCUCAUCAAAUUAACCUUUGAGCACUUCAUAUACACACAUAUUGCUUGGAGCUGCCUCACUUGCACACACACUCACACACGUGAUGGAGCUACCUGUUUUUCUCUCAGUUAGUGGCUACAUAAUCUUUCUGUCUUCCACACACACACUCGCCUCACUCGCAGCCAGUGGGUGUGUCAACAGGGGAUUGGUCCUUUCUGCCGGGUAAUUGAUGAAUUAUAUGCAAUAUGCAAAUGAGGAGCCAUUAAUCUCCUGACUGACAGCUUCGUUUAUGGGGCCUUAAUGACGGCUGGAUUAGAUUCUAAUUAAAAUCUGCUCAAAGACACCCCACGCUAGGAAGCGGCUGCCACUCGUCUCUCGCCCUCUCGAUCUCUUUUUUUUUUUAAUCUCUCGGACCCUCCUUCCGUAUAUUUCAUCUCUCCGUCCUCUGCACACUUUGGCUGGCCGGGCUCCCUCUUUUAAUAUCCCUCCUCGCGGGCAUACAUGCACCCACGGGCUCGUGUUAUGAAGUGUGUAGUAUGAGGGGAGAUGAGCCGCGCUGCUUGUCAUUAAGCCUGAUGCGGCCCGUGUCAUUCCCCCUGUCAGGACAUUCACACCGUUUAGUCAGAGCCCAAGUGAUGUCCGACAGCUUUUCGCCAACGCCGCGCCCCCUCGCCAACCCCCCUGGCCGGCCCACAAAUAGGAUUGAUUGAGCAUGUCCGGCCCAAUCUGAAGAAUGCACGACGUGACGUCAGGAUCUCUAGACUAGCCGGGCUCAGACGUCAUCCAAAGUGGUGGCGCACAACGUUUUACAUCUAAAAAAUUACUUAGAGCUCCAAUCAUUAUGACCAGCAUCGAAAUACAGGCCAAAGUGUUCAAGGCAGAAUUUUUACCUUUAAUUUUUUUUUUAAUAUGAGCAAAUAUUAGCAUGAUCGCAGCAUUGCCCCACUUGCUAAUCCUCGCUAACCAAAGAUGUGGGAAUUUUAGGUAGAAGUUCUGAACUUUCACCUGUAAACCCAAAAUCCUUCACUUAGUAGAGUACGUCUUCAUCUGCUCAAAAUCACCACGACAACUUGUAAGGAGUCAAAAAAUAGUCAAGUGGUCUUCAAGCAUAAAGUGAUGACAUGCAUAAAGGCGCUUGAGCGCAGUUGAGUGCUGGUCAGUGGGGGACGAUGCAGCGAGAGGCAAACUGGGCUCAAGACAAUUGGCCCAGUGUGAGUCUGCUCCAGGUAAGAAAAAAUUGAAAAAAAACCCCAGCAACAAAUGGCCAAGUGAGACAAGAAGGAGUAGUGGGCGAGCACACACAUUUAAUAAGCACACAAAUGAACGAGUAAGCUGAACAGUAAUGAGGCGCUUUAUUGACGCCAUGAGGGGCAAACUCGUUUUUUUGCUUUGCUCGUACUUACGGGGGUGGGAGGGCACGUUUGCUUUUGCUUCCAGGAAAACACUCACAUUUCAUUUGUCAAAUUUUAUAGACUUGAAGGCCACUAUUUGUUCACAUGGGCGGGCCACCCAUCUCAGUCUUAGCAACAACAACAAAAAAGCACCAAAGUGACUAACGAGCGAUGU